CUAGAUGGCCUUUAAAUGUCCCUCCCAAGCCAGGCCAUUCUGUGCUGCUGUGCACCAGCAGAGCAGUGCUGGAAUAAUGCUGGGGUGAUGAUGCUGGCACCUGUGUUUUGGUAGUUGUGCCAUUUAGCUGUUGGCCAAGAGAGGAUUGAUGGGCUGCAAAGUGAAGUCUGCAAAGAACAGUGUGCUCAAGGAGAAACAGGAGAGGAACACGGCUUCCAGUUCAGAUAAACGCCAGCAUUUUGCUGCCCAUUCCUUGUUAAGAAAUAAAGGAACGUCCUGAAGAUCCCUUCAAUGUGGGUGCACUAUUGGCUGUAUCAGUGCUUGUGUUCUGUAAAACAGAUGCAGCUGGCACCACAAGACAUGCUCAGAAUAUCUGGGAGAGUAUGAGAAGAGUUUUCUACCAGGGAACACAUGUUUUGAUGAAGUUAAUGGCCAUUGUGGCUGGUGGAGCACUUUUCCUGAUGAUGUGCUAUGCUGGAAUCUGGUAUUGCUGGAAGAAAAAACGGAGCACCUCUGCACCUCCAGAUGUCCUGCCAAACACGUUAGUCUGGGAGACCUGCACCUGUCAUCCUCCAUCUCCAAGCCAGUGUCCAUUGUCCCUGCCACAGCUCCAUUUUCAGCUUAUUGCUGUGCCGCCACCACCCAGAACAGGACCCUCUGUCCCUGCAGGUGCUGGCCCUGGUGCCUGGCCAGGCCUGAAUGUGGGCCCCUCCUGCCAGGGAAGGGUUUGAGCAACACCUUUGGGCUUCUGCUCUGGGCUCUGGCUGGUACC